rnacentral:lncRNA from 1 species
CACACUCAGAGGAAGGCUGAGAGGAGGCUGUGUGGGAGCCAGAGCAGAGGGGUUUUUUGUAACUUGCUUUGCAGACCAGCACAAUUUUCCAGGGGAGAUGCAAGCCUGGGAUAGUGGCUGUUGAGCUCACAGACUUGCUUUGUUUAAUUAUCAUUUGCAGACUGUUUAAUAGGGGCCUGAAGGCCCCAAAACCCACCAAGAGCGAGAGGAUGACAACCACCAAAUACCUCUGUAGGAAGAAGACAGGCAGAGAGUUUAUUCAGCUUGCCCAGCACUUCAGCCACAGGAGCCAACUCCAAGGCCAUGGAGACCAGAACCAGCUCCUGUGACUAUAAUACCUCCAAAGCACUGCAGCCCAAGGGCUGAUGUCUAUUUUCUUUUGGCACUGGAUCAUCUCUCCCACAAGGAUCUGCACCAGGAGCUCCUAGGAAGCUGCUGCCCCUGCUUCACACAGUGGGCAGCUGAGAUGCCCAAUGGAUGGACAACCUUCUCUCAGCCUGGAGUGCUUCCCCACUGGGGACUUUUAACAUCAGCCCUGGGGAAUAGACACAGUAACAGCAAAGAGUCUCUGGUGUGCCACUACUGUGAUAUGUCCAAGCUGAGAGCCGCUGGCAAGCUGAUGAGUCUCCUGAUUAGGAGCUGGUAGUGAUCAGACCAUUUACUUGACCUUAAGACACCUUAAGACCUGGAGUAUUGUUAUGCUGCCACCUCUGAAAGGUACCAAAAGUACCUGAAAACAUUUGCUCAUCUAUAACCUGACAAUUAAAUAGCUGUAACAAAGUCUGGAGGUCCCUCCUGAUUUUCCAAAUGCUUGUGUGUUUUAUCAAUCCAAUGGGAAGAACAAGGAAGCAGAGAAGGGGCUUGAAUGUCUUAACUAAACUGGUGGAAGGCAUCCCCUCAGCUCUGCUAAGCU